rnacentral:tRNA from 1 species
GGGAGUAUAGCUCAGUGGUAGAGCUCAUGCUUAGCAUGCAUGAGGUCCUGGGUUCAAUCCCCAGUACCUCCA